GAGAAAAAAAAGAAAGAACCGAGAAAGAGAAGAGAGAAACCGUGAACUUUUUUGAGCUUUCGAGCUCGAUUUCUUGUAAUUCGUGAUCUCAGUCAAAAAUCUAAUCCGAUAAAAGUGUUCGUAUCUUCUUCCUCUACACGUUGACGUUAUUUUUGUUCGGUGGAAGCUGAUGGUGACGUAGCUUCCCUUUCCCUUGAGUUCGGCCAACUGGAGUUUUAGGAGGCACAGAAGAUUCCGGACGUUUUCUUCUUCGGCAGCUCGGUCAGAAAGUUUCUCCGGAGUUUCGAGUAUUUUGAUUUCGUACGGAGAUAGUGGAUAAAGCUGUGGUUGCGACUACUGCUGGGUGUGAGCCGAGAGAAAAGGAUUUCUUUGAGGCAUUUAGUUUAUGGGUUCGACAAUCGAGUGACACAGGUUCAAUUCGGAGAUUCAGUAAGAAGUUGCAGACGAUUAGUAGCUUUACUUGUGAUUUCUGUUGUUUUUAUAGAGUUCCCUCGCCCUUGUUGCUU